rnacentral:rRNA from 1 species
GACGAACGCUGGCGGCGUGCCUAAUACAUGCAAGUCGAACGCAGUGGGGACGGGUGAGUAACACGUGGGUAACCUCCCAUCAGAGGGGAUAACACUUGGAAACAGGUGCUAAACCGAUACUGAUGGAUGAACCCGCGGUGCAUUAGCUAGUUGGUGAGGUAACGGCUCACCAAGGCCACGAUGCAUAGCCGACCUGGGAGGGUGUUCGGCCAAACUUGGACUGUGACAAGGCCCAGACUAGUACGGGAGGCAGCAGUAGAGAAUCAUCGGGAAUGGACGAAAGUCUGACCGAGCGACGCCGCGUGAGUGAAGAAGGUUUACGGAUCGUAAAACUCUGUUGUUUGAGAAGCGGUAUCUAACCAUAAUGCCACGGCUAACUACGUGCCAGCAGCCGCGGUAAUAC